AAAAAAGGUAAUUACUCAUCCUAUCCCAAAUGAGGCUCACUGACUCCAUGGGAAACCUGCCCCGGGAACACACCCUAUUGGAAAGGUCAACACCACCAGAAGAAAACUGCGGGCCGAUCGGGAGUGUACUCUGACAUUCAACCGAGGACUGACAGGUCUCCAGAAAAAGGCCGGCCACCUUUGCUGACUGCUGAAUUCCCAGCUCAAGCUUGCUCUCCAAAUUCCAUGACGAGCGGAAAUCUCCACCUCCCCCAAGUGCCUUCCUGCUGUUCUGCGCAGUUACCUAUGAAAGCAAUGACGACUUUUAAAGCAACGUUCCCUGCGUAACUUGUACCGUUUCUGAUCGUGUUUGGCCCAUGGUGGUUGGCUGUAAGCAAACUGCACCGAAUCCCAUGAAAGAGCAAUAUGAACAUACCCCCAGACCACUGGGGACUCGGAGACGGGAGUGGUUUUUGUAUCAAUGGAGACAAGUAAAGGCUGCAGCUGUCCCUGCUGUAACCCGAGCUCCAGCUGCUCACAUCUCUCCGUUGUCUCUGGACUUUCUCACUUCAGGGUGUGAUGUGGGCACCCGGCCUCUGAGUCCCUGUGGGACCAGCCACUGA
rnacentral:lncRNA from 1 species